UACGGAGGGUCCAAGCGUUAUCCGGAAUCAUUGGGUUUAAAGGGUCCGUAGGCGGUUUUGUAAGUCAGUGGUGAAAGCCCAUCGCUCAACGGUGGAACGGCCAUUGAUACUGCAAGACUUGAAUUAUUGGGAAGUAACUAGAAUAUGUAGUGUAGCGGUGAAAUGCUUAGAGAUUACAUGGAAUACCAAUUGCGAAGGCAGGUUACUACCAAUAUAUUGACGCUGAUGGACGAAAGCGUGGGGA
rnacentral:rRNA from 1 species